rnacentral:piRNA from 1 species
UGCUAAUGGGUCCUGUCAGAAAGACACACU